GGGGCGUGUGGACAAGCACAUGCAGUUCUGAAGGUAUUUUUCAGGAACCUGGACUCUGGAGGGGCAGCCCAGGCCUCCUCUCACUGCCUUAUCUACCCCUGGAUUUUUCCAGAACCCAUCUGGCAGCCAGGAAAUUGGGCACAACGUGGGAGCUCGAAGGCCUGGGAGAUUUUCUGGGGAAGAUUACCAAGUCUGAUGGGAUCUGGGGCCUCUAUCAAAGCUUAGUGUCUUAGGCCGGGCACCAUCAUCUACCUGGUGACCUCCCUCAGUGUGUACAAUACAGCCAAAGGUGCACUCCCUGACCUCAAGAACACUUGUAUCGUGGUGAACUGGAUGAUUGCCCAGACGUGAUGGCCAUGAUCUAGUGUGGCAUCGUAACCAUUCAAUACUGUGUGGAGGUGGAUGAUGAUGCAGUGCUGGCACAAAGGAGCUGAUGUCAGGUACAUGGGGAUCCUAGAUUGUUGGACGAAGAUCUUGAAAGACGAAGAGAGCAAAGCCUUCUUCAAGGGCGCAUGGUCUAACAUCCUCAGAGGCAUGGAGUGAGCCUUCAUACUGGUUCUAACGAUGAAAGUCAUCUAGGUGCCUCUAUCUCUUUGAAAGCAUGGGAGCCAAGAGAAUCUUGAACAGUAAAUCAGAAAACACUGUUAGGGACCAUUGACCUUCAAGAAAUUCCAAUUACCUUUGUCCUGGCCAGAUUAUCUCUGUAGAAGGAUGGAGAAGGCUCUAGAAAAGGAGCUCAUUGUUAUCACCCAUUGGCACUGGAUUCAAUGUAUUGAUUACUGAGGGGGUGAUGGGGGGACAGGAAUCAUGAUGUCAUUGUAGGCCCACAGGCGAGGCAGCUCCACUAUUCAGACCUGGAGUCUAGAUGCUUAUAGGAUGUGAGUUGUGUUCAAGUAUUUAUUUAAAACAAAAGAAUCAUGUCUCCGAUUUGCACUUAACCACUAGUUCCUCUUUUGAAUAGCCAAAUAUUUGUAAUUAUGUUUUAUGUUGGACAUUCUGCUGCAAAACAAUGAAGACAGGACACUAAGGAAAAAAAUA
rnacentral:lncRNA from 1 species